rnacentral:tRNA from 3 species
AUCCAUAUUCCCGAUUCCCGGCGUAGCCUCCCACUGGGUGGCAUUCUUCAGGGGGGGCGAAGCUCGGGAAUAUGGAU